rnacentral:rRNA from 1 species
UACGAAGGGGGCUAGCGUUGCUCGGAAUCACUGGGCGUAAAGCGCACGUAGGCGGAUUUGUAAGUCAGGGGUGAAAUCCCGGGGCUCAACCUCGGAACUGCCUUUGAUACUGCGAAUCUUGAGUCCGAUAGAGGUGGGUGGAAUUCCUAGUGUAGAGGUGAAAUUCGUAGAUAUUAGGAAGAACACCGGUGGCGAAGGCGGCCCACUGGAUCGGUACUGACGCUGAGGUGCGAAAGCGUGGGGAGCAAACAGG